GUACGUAGGGGGCGAGCGUUAUCCGGAUUUAUUGGGCGUAAAGCGAGCGCAGGCGGUUUUUUAAGUCUGAUGUGAAAGCCUUCGGCUUAACCGAAGAAGUGCAUUAGAAACUGGGAAACUUAAGUGAAGUAGAGGCAGGCGGAAUUCCCGGUGUAGCGGUGAAAUGCGUAGAGAUCGGGAGGAACACCAGUGGCGAAGGCGGCCUGCUGGGCUUUAACUGACGCUGAGGCACGAAAGCAUGGGUAGCAAACAGGAUUAGAUACCCUGGUAGUCCAUGCCGUAAACGAUGAUUACUAGGUGUGGGGGGUCUGACCCCUUCCGUGCCGGAGUUAACACAAUAAGUAAUCCACCUGGGAAGUACGACCGCAAGGUUGAA
rnacentral:rRNA from 1 species